CAAGUCGAACGCCCCGCAAGGGGAGUGGCGGACGGGUGAGUAACGCGUGGGAAUUUUCCUCAAGGUACGGAACAACUCAGGGAAACUUGGGCUAAUACCGUAUGAUGCAGCGAUGCCAAAGAUUUAUCGCCUUGGGAUAAGCCCGCGUCAGAUUAGGUAGUUGGUGGGGUAACGGCCUACCAAGCCUGCGAUCUGUAGCUGGUCUGAGAGGACGAUCAGCCACAUUGGGACUGAGACACGGCCCAAACUCCUACGGGAGGCAGCAGUGGGGAAUCUUGCGCAAUGGGCGAAAGCCUGACGCAGCCAUGCCGCGUGAAUGAUGAAGGUCUUAGGAUUGUAAAGUUCUUUAGCCUGUGACGAUGAUGACGGUAACAGGAGAAUAAGCCCCGGCUAACUUCGUGCCAGCAGCCGCGGUAAUACGAAGGGGGCUAGCGUUGUUCGGAAUUACUGGGCGUAAAGCGCGCGUAGGCGGUUUUACAAGCCAGAGGUGAAAUGCCUGAGCUUAACUUGGGAAUUGCCUUUGGAACUGUAUGACUUCGAGGACGAGAGAGGUGAGUGGAAUUCCCAGUGUAGAGGUGAAAUUCGUAGAUAUUGGGAAGAACACCGGUGGCGAAGGCGGCUCACUGGCUCGUUUCUGACGCUGCAGCGCGAAAGCGUGGGGAUCAAACAGGAUUAGAUACCCUGGUAGUCCACGCUGUAAACGAUGAGUGCUAGGCGUCGGCACGCUUGCGUGUCGGUGCCGCAGCUAACGCGUGGAGCACUCCGCCUGGGGAGUACGGUCGCAAGAUUAAAACUCAAAGGAAUUGACGG
rnacentral:rRNA from 1 species